ACUCCGUGCCAGCAGCCGCGGUAAUACGGAGGGUGCAAGCGUUAAUCGGAAUUACUGGGCGUAAAGCGCACGCAGGCGGUUUGUUAAGUCAGAUGUGAAAUCCCCGGGCUCAACCUGGGAACUGCAUCUGAUACUGGCAAGCUUGAGUCUCGUAGAGGGGGGUAGAAUUCCAGGUGUAGCGGUGAAAUGCGUAGAGAUCUGGAGGAAUACCGGUGGCGAAGGCGGCCCCCUGGACGAAGACUGACGCUCAGGUGCGAAAGCGUGGG
rnacentral:rRNA from 1 species